GCAAGUUCCAGGCUCGCGGAGAGGCUAUCUGGCCGGAAACGCGGCCUGAGCCCAAAUUUAACGGGAUGCGGCACUGUUGUCCCUGGGGGUUGAGCUGUCCUGUCAGGGAUUGUCCCCGCACCCUUCUCUCGGCCACAGCUGCUCACUCCUGGGGUGCAUCCCUCCUGUUAGGAGGCGCGGUCUUCGGAUUUGAGACAAAUCUAACUAUAAAAUUUGCGCGGCCGUUAUUGUUUAAGCAAAAAUGAGAGCUCUUUUGGCCCAAACUUGGUAGUCAAGAUUCUGUAGCAGGAAACUGAACAUCAAGACCGAGCAAGAGUGUGACAGGUGGAAAAAGUUUUCAGGAAAUAACUGCGGUGCGCAGUGAAGGAGCCGUGAUCCCGGAGAAGAAUGCGGGAAGACAGGAAUGGACUGGGAAUUACGCGCAGAUAACCGAGCGCGGUAGUCAACAGGAGAAGGUUAUCUUCCUUCGCAGGAGAGAGGGGAGGAGUAAGGAACUGCUGGGGAGGAGCUUCUAGCAGUUACAAGUACGAACUGCUCAGUUUAACUCUUAUUAAAGUAGAUUAAUUACAGUAAUGAUUAGAAAUGCUAAAGGAUCCAAAUUUGCAAGGUAACAUGCUCUACUGCAUAGAGCACAAAACCACAUGUUAAUGUAACAAAA